rnacentral:rRNA from 1 species
UACGUAGGGUGCAAGCGUUGUCCGGAAUUAUUGGGCGUAAAGAGCUCGUAGGCGGUCUGUCGCGUCUGCUGUGAAAAUCCAGGGCUCAACCCUGGACCUGCAGUGGGUACGGGCAGACUAGAGUGCGGUAGGGGAGAUCGGAAUUCCUGGUGUAGCGGUGAAAUGCGCAGAUAUCGGGAGGAACACCAGUGGCGAAGGCGGCUCUCUGGACCUCUGCUGACGCUGAGGCGCGAAAGCGUGGGGAGCGAUCCGG